CUAGAAAGAAGGGUUUAUCUGGGCUUAUGGUUCCAAAGGGCAUAAGAGGCCAUCACCAUGACAACAGGGAGGCCUGACAGCAGCCAGGCAUGGUGACUGAAGCAGCAAACAGUUCAUCUUGAAUUGAAAGCACGAAGCAGAGAGCGCAAACUGGGAGGAGGCUGGGAUCUCAAUGCCCCAAUGCCCACUGCCCGUGACACAGCUCCUCCAGGAAGGCCAAACCUCCUAAGCCUCUACUAACAGCAUCACCAAAUAGGAACCCACUGUUCAAAUACACACCCUCUGGGCGCAUAUUCUCACUCAAAUUAUUGCCAUGUGAAUAUCUAUUGCUGUUCACGCAGGGUCUCAGCCACACGGUACCAGUGUGACUCUGGCAGGGGAAUAGAGGGAUGGGGAAAGCUAGAGUCUUAGUAACUAAGGUCCGUCACAUGAGUACUUCAGGCUGAUCCCCUGUACACUAAACUUUGUGGGUUUGGCUUUGGCACUGGCAAUGUUUUGCAAAUCUUGCUCAUGCAACCUUGAUGGAAGGAGCCAGCACAUCCCUGCAUGAUUUCACUGGGAUACAGCAACUGGAAACUUGGACCUGGGCGCUCCUGGACACUACCUAUGGUGCCCUUUUCUUUUAUGGAUUUUAAAUGUUUCUUUUCCCUAUAUAUUACCAUAACCAUGAGUGUAAAGUGGUUGUUGUUGUUGCUGCUGUUGUUUUGUUUUGUUUUGUUUUGCAUCCUGUAAAUGCUUCCAGUAAUUCAUUAAACUCAAGGGUAGUUUGGAGAGCUACCCAUAACCCCCAGUGCUAAUUUUUAUUGUCCUACCCAAACCCAUACACUGCUAAUACUGCUUCUGCCACCACCAUCUACUGUGGGCUGAGUGUGUGCCAGGCAGCUCACUUAAAUCUGCUUCAGUCUUCACAAUAGCUAACUCCUACUAUGUGCUCGGAAGCAUUCCAAGUACUUUACUUCUAGCAACCUACUCAAGUUCUGCACAAGCCUAUGAGACAGGCACAAGCCUGCAUCACAGUUUAUAGAUAAAAAGCUGGAGUGAAGCAGGAGAGAGGAGAGCUGACCGAGCCCGACAGUCUGACUGCAGAGUCUGUGUUCUUUGAUCAAUCCGCCAUAAACCAGAAGCUGUCAGCUCAUCCCAAGAGGGACAACCAUGAACUCCAUCUGAAUUUUCUUCUGACUGUGCAGAUUCUCCUUGGCAACCUCUGGUCUCCUUGGCAACCUCUGGUCUCCUUGGCAACCUCUGGUCUCCUUGGCAACCUCUGGUCUCCUUGGCAACCUCUGGUCUCAAAGGUCCCCACCUCUUUCCCACUGUCUCUGGGAAGAGGGAGGGAGGACAGGAAAGGGAAAUGGCUCACCUCAAACCCUGAGUUCUCAUUGUAAGUGUUUUUACAAGACUGUUGUAGGUAAAUUAGGGCAACUGUUCUCCAAGAAUCAUAAAGAGCCACUGAGUUAGAAGGAGCCUCCAUAUCUACUUGGACCACAAUUGUACAGGGGUGUCUACAGUUGUGCCUUCUGGCCUUUCUCAUGGGAUGGCUCAUCAGUGGGACAUUUUCAUAAGAUAAAUUUAUUUAUGUUCUAGGCAUUAUAAGAUAUCAAGAGAUUAAGUUUUAAACAAGACGAAUUUGACUUAUGGCACUGGAGUGUUGUAUGCUUACCAAGCCAACGAUGAGAAUCUAGAUUAUAUAGUCCUUCUCAAAUGGACAGGGCAGGAGUAGCUAAAGUUAAAAUGAAUAGCAAAGCCAAAUGCUGGCACUGCUGCCAUUUACAGUUCUCAUCCACUGCCAGCGGGCAUGCUGUCUGACACGUUCACUUUACAGACCCUUGGAACUAAAUGCCACUGCCAUUGCUAUUGGAAAAUAGAGAGGAAGAAAGAAAAAGGACUGUUGGUUCAGAUGUCCAGAACUCAUGGUUAACUUCCAACUCUUCGACCCCAGGGCAGCCCCCGCCCCCCUGCCCCCGAGGACCAGCUGGCCGGUCGCGCCCUCUCCUGGCACCACCGAGAAGCGACGCGCCUGGCUGGCUAGAGGGGCCAGCCAGCCCCAACCAGCGGACAUCCCAGCCGACAUCCCAUGCUUCCUAUCCAUCUGGCCUGCUACAGGGUCUCAACCUCAGGAGCAUGGCUUGAGCCAGCGACGCUUCGUUCUUAAAGGAAAGCAGACAAUUGAAAAAGAUUCUAAACUACGUUGUGGGAUUGAAGCGCAAAUGGAUAAUGUGCCCAGAGAAGAGGACUGAGUGGCAGAGCAUCUCGUAGUCGUCGCUGAAGAUUAUGAGGUCAUAGAAAUCACUAUGAGGUCACACCGAGAGAUAACUACUUACAGCCAAGAGUCUUCGCAAACUAAAUUAACCAGGAAGAAGGGCCAAGUCAACUCCGUGGCAAAGGUCAACAAAAGAGGGAGAUCUGAUAAAGAUUACAGUGCGGAGAGAAAAGGUAAAAACAAUACAGUCAAGAACUGUUUGUAAAAGAACAAUACCACUGAUAAAGCCACAAAUGAUCAACAUCAGGAAUGUCAAAGAGCACCCAAGUGAAAGUGUCUGGCUGUGUCACGGGAUACAGACUCACGUGGUGUUUUGCUGAAGCAGACCUGUGCGAGGACACGAGAUGUUGGAGAGAUAAAUAGAAGUCAAUGGACAGUGGUGGGGUGCUUGCAUAACUAGCCUUGCAACACUUCAUUGGUCUGGAGUCUUCCCUGAUCUUCACCUCAUUGAGAGAGGCACGGCAGAGAACUUCUCCUGGUGUCCUGGUUGGUUCUGGCCGCUCCCCUGCUGACUUCUGCGGAUUUGGCAGAGGCCUGGCUGUUUCUGCUGGAUUGGGCCACCGCUGCUGAUUCAUGUUUGGUAACCUGGCACUACUGAACUGGGCUGCUGGUAUCCUGGCAAAUGGAGAUUGGAAUCACACCAAAGAACUACUUCUAAACAGGUCCACAUCCCCUUGCCCUACUUACCAUCUUUUCUGCCCUACCUUUGGAUGGUGGGCUAGAAGUGUGUGUGUUGGGGGCAGGGGAGUCAAAAUGCUUGAAAACCCUUAUUAAAAGUUAAGUUUUAAAAAA